rnacentral:rRNA from 1 species
CCCUUAGAUGUUCUGGGCCGCACGCGCGCUACACUGAUGCAUUCAACGAGUCUAAAACCUGCUCUGAUAGGGGUGGGUAAUCUUUUGAAUGUGCAUCGUGAUUGGGAUAGAUGAUUGAAAUUUUUCAUCUUCAACGAGGAAUGCCUAGUAAACGCAAGUCAUCAGCUUGCAUUGAUUACGUCCCUGCCCUUUGUACACACCGCCCGUCGCUCCUACCGAUUGAAUGAUCCGAUGAAUAUCAUGGAUUGAGGAUGCAAGUAGGUUCACCUAUCUCCAUCUUCGAGAAGUGAAGUAAAUCUUAUCAUUUAGAGGAAGGAGAAGUCGUAACA